rnacentral:lncRNA from 10 species
CAUCACUUAGUCUCCCAGAGCCUCCUCUUCUGAUCUGUAAAACGGGCAUAACAAUACCGUGCCCUGGAGAAUGUGCCUUUAGGAAUAACUUCCCCUACCGAGAAGUUUCUGGUGUCUCCUCGUGGAGGCCCAAACACUCCAUGCCUGACUCCCGCGGUUCACCUGUUUGGUUCCACUCCCCAGGCGGCAUCGAAAGGAAGCUCUGCCAACAAGGCAACUGGGGAAGAGAAGGGCUGAAUGAACACAAAAUUUCUGGUUGCUGCACAAAACAAGAUCAAAGAAAAGAGAAGAAUAAUCAGAGAAAGGAAAAGCCAUGUGAGGACACA